UCCAGAGACCAGUAGUUCUCACCUGGUGUCCCAAAGAAGAUAAGUAGGGUUGAGCCUGACAAAUACCUGGAUGGGAGACCUCAUGGGGAAAGCUAUGGUUGUUGUAGGAA
rnacentral:rRNA from 1 species